rnacentral:rRNA from 1 species
GUCGAACGAACUUCCGUUAAUUGAUUAUGACGUACUUGUACUGAUUGAGAUUUUAACACGAAGUGAGUGGCGAACGGGUGAGUAACACGUGGGUAACCUGCCCAGAAGUAGGGGAUAACACCUGGAAACAGAUGCUAAUACCGUAUAACAGAGAAAACCGCAUGGUUUUCUUUUAAAAGAUGGCUCUGCUAUCACUUCUGGAUGGACCCGCGGCGUAUUAGCUAGUUGGUGAGGCAAAGGCUCACCAAGGCAGUGAUACGUAGCCGACCUGAGAGGGUAAUCGGCCACAUUGGGACUGAGACACGGCCCAGACUCCUACGGGAGGCAGCAGUAGGGAAUCUUCCACAAUGGACGCAAGUCUGAUGGAGCAACGCCGCGUGAGUGAAGAAGGGUUUCGGCUCGUAAAGCUCUGUUGUUAAAGAAGAACGUGGGUAAGAGUAACUGUUUACCCAGUGACGGUAUUUAACCAGAAAGCCACGGCUAACUACGUGCCAGCAGCCGCGGUAAUACGUAGGUGGCAAGCGUUAUCCGGAUUUAUUGGGCGUAAAGCGAGCGCAGGCGGUCUUUUAAGUCUAAUGUGAAAGCCUUCGGCUCAACCGAAGAAGUGCAUUGGAAACUGGGAGACUUGAGUGCAGAAGAGGACAGUGGAACUCCAUGUGUAGCGGUGAAAUGCGUAGAUAUAUGGAAGAACACCAGUGGCGAAGGCGGCUGUCUGGUCUGCAACUGACGCUGAGGCUCGAAAGCAUGGGUAGCGAACAGGAUUAGAUACCCUGGUAGUCCAUGCCGUAAACGAUGAUUACUAAGUGUUGGAGGGUUUCCGCCCUUCAGUGCUGCAGCUAACGCAUUAAGUAAUCCGCCUGGGGAGUACGACCGCAAGGUUGAAACUCAAAAGAAUUGACGGGGGCCCGCACAAGCGGUGGAGCAUGUGGUUUAAUUCGAAGCUACGCGAAGAACCUUACCAGGUCUUGACAUCUUCUGACAGUCUAAGAGAUUAGAGGUUCCCUUCGGGGACAGAAUGACAGGUGGUGCAUGGUUGUCGUCAGCUCGUGUCGUGAGAUGUUGGGUUAAGUCCCGCAACGAGCGCAACCCUUAUUACUAGUUGCCAGCAUUAAGUUGGGCACUCUAGUGAGACUGCCGGUGACAAACCGGAGGAAGGUGGGGACGACGUCAAAUCAUCAUGCCCCUUAUGACCUGGGCUACACACGUGCUACAAUGGAUGGUACAACGAGUCGCGAAACCGCGAGGUUAAGCUAAUCUCUUAAAACCAUUCUCAGUUCGGACUGUAGGCUGCAACUCGCCUACACGAAGUCGGAAUCGCUAGUAAUCGCGGAUCAGCAUGCCGCGGUGAAUACGUUCCCGGGCCUUGUACACACCGCCCGUCACUUUC